rnacentral:rRNA from 1 species
GACAGAGGGUGCAAACGUUGCUCGGAAUCACUGGGCGUAAAGGGCGUGUAGGCGGGCAGAUAAGUCGGGCGUGAAAUCCCCAGGCUCAACCUGGGAACUGCACUCGAAACUGUUUGUCUUGAGUAUCGGAGAGGAAAGCGGAAUACCUGGUGUAGAGGUGAAAUUCGUAGAUAUCAGGUGGAACACCAGUGGCGAAGGCGGCUUUCUGGACGAUAACUGACGCUGAGACGCGAAAGCGUGGGGAGCAAACAGG